UCUUCGGGGGGAUAGAUGGGAGGAGACGCUGCUCAGUGUGUUUUCCCUGCAGCGGGUUCACGGUAACGGAGAAGAAGAAGAAGAAGAAGAAGAAGGAGAAGAGCCGCUCCUCUCUCUCGGUCACGGAUCCGUUCCUCCGGUGUGAUUCUCAUAACCGCACAUUGACCUUUUCUCUUUCUCCCGGUGUGUGCCUGCAUCCUGGCUUUUUAUUCUUUGUUUUUUUUAUUUGUUUUGUUGUACAUGGAGGCUGAGCAUCUUGUAACGAAACCUACCGCGGAGAUCUGACUGUGUGUAACCGACUUGGAUUUAAACCUUAUAUACCGAAUGAUCCCCUGAAAGAGCCUCGCAUCACCUCCUCCUCCUCGAGGUCCUACUACUAAAAGAUGCGGCUGGUAGCGCGGGUACCUGUCCUGGUUUCACACCGGCUCGGUUCGUCCCGGUAGACUGAUCCUACCCGGUGCUGCUGCGGUGUCACACCACAGUGAUUUAAAACAAGACAAACCGGAUCCGCCACCAGCAGCCUGACAGAUGGAUAACUACUCUACUCUACAACUGCAGUGUCUGGAAAUGACCACUAAGCGGAAGCUGAUUGGCCGGCUGGUGCCGUGCCGUUGUUUCCGUGGUGAAGAGGAAGUGAUCUCGGUGUUGGAUUACUCCCACUGCAGCCUGCAGCAGGUUCCCAAGGAGAUCUUCAGCUUCGAGAGAACUCUGGAGGAGCUCUACCUCGACGCCAACCAGAUUGAGGAACUACCCAAGCAACUCUUCAACUGCCAGGCCUUGAAGAAGCUGAGCAUGCCCGAUAACGACCUGUCCAACCUGCCCACCACCAUCGCCAGCUUGGUUAACCUCAAAGAGCUAGACAUCAGUAAAAACGGUAUCCAGGAGUUUCCCGACAAUAUAAAAUGCUGUAAAGGCCUGUCUGUGGUGGAGGCCAGUGUCAACCCGAUCACCAAACUCCCAGAUGGUUUCACGCAGCUCCUGAAUCUGACCCAGCUCUUCUUAAACGAUGCCUUCCUGGAGUAUCUGCCGGCUAACUUUGGCAGACUCUCCAAACUACGGAUCCUGGAGCUCAGAGAGAACCACCUGAAAACCAUGCCAAAGUCCAUCCACAGACUGACACAGUUGGAGAGGUUGGAUCUGGGUAGCAAUGAAUUCUCUGAGAUGCCGGAGGUGUUGGAACAGAUCCACAACCUAAGAGAGCUGUGGCUGGAUAACAACUCUCUACAAUGUAUACCAGGGGCGAUAGGAAAACUCCGUCAGUUGCGGUACUUUGACUUAGCUAAGAAUCGUAUUGAGACGUUGGACACGGAUAUCUCAGGCUGUGAGGCCUUAGAAGACCUGCUGCUAUCCUCCAACAUGCUGCAGCACCUCCCUGACUCUAUAGGAAUGUUGAAGAAGCUGACAACAUUGAAGGUAGAUGACAACCAGCUGACCUCACUGCCUAACACCAUCGGGAGUGCGAAGCCCAAGCAAGGUCUGUCUCUGUUGGAGGAGUUGGACUGUAGUUGUAAUGAGUUGGAGUCGUUGCCUCCCACUAUCGGCUACCUGCACAACCUGAGGACCUUCGCUGCUGACGAGAACUUCCUCUCAGAGCUGCCGCGGGAGAUCGGUAACUGUAAGAACGUGACGGUAAUGUCGCUGCGGUCCAACAAACUGGAGUUUCUUCCUGAUGAGAUCGGACAGAUGACCAAACUACGAGUCCUUAACCUCAGUGACAACAGGUUAAAGAAUCUACCGUUUACCUUUACUAAGCUGAAGGACCUGGCAGCUCUCUGGCUCUCUGACAAUCAGUCCAAGGCUCUGAUCCCGCUGCAGACAGAAGCCCACCCUGAAACCAAACAGAAGGUUUUGACCAACUACAUGUUUCCUCAGCAACCGCGACAUGAUGAGGAUUACCAGUCGGACAGUGACAGCUUUAAUCCUACUCUGUGGGAGGAGCAGAGACAGCAGAGGAUGACUGUGGCCUUUGACUUUGAGGACAAGAAAGAAGAGGAAGACAACUCUGGGAAGGUCAAGGUGGAGAUAAACCUAAAGCGCUACCCAACACCCUACCCUGAGGACCUCAAGAACAUGGUCAAGUCAGUGCAAAGCCUUGUGGGUAAAAGCGUACACGCCGGACACGGGCACCAGCACCAACACCAGCACCAGCAUCAGCACCAGCACCAGCACCAGCUGAGCACAGGCACUGCCACCUCGGCAGGAACCAACAUGGAACACACACACCUCAGCAAAGAACAGUACGAACCACCGUGGCCCCUGCCUCCCAAAGAGGUGAUAGACAGAGAGAUGCAGGACUUCUCUCAGUCUCAGCUAAUGGAUCAGGGAUCAAUGCACAACUCUGGCAUUGACAUUCCCAAGAGGAAGGACAAAGAGGACCUGACGGAGAGCUCUGAGGACUCGAUGGGCGGCUCUCCCAACGACAUCCGUAUCUCUGACAUGAGGCCCACCCUGGUGGAACCACCGAUGUACAAACCGAAGGUGGUGCUCCUGGGGAAGGACAAGAAAGAGUCUACAGAUGAAGAGGUGGAUAAGCUCCACUGUCUGAACCACAGCGGCUCCUCAGCCACCUACUCCGACUACUCUCCCUCACAGGGCUCCUCCGGCUCCUCCAACCCGCCCGGCAACGCACACUCACACUCACACGCACACUCUCACGCACACCCACACACUCCCGCCCUGCCGGCCCCGAGCAAGGACCAGGCCCCUCAAACACACUGGACCAACAGGCUGGCUCAGUCGUUCCCCAAACCCAUCGACUCCAAGCCCCUGCUGUCUCAGAGAGAAACCCCUCCAUCAGGAACCCUGCAGCAGCGCGGGGAUCGACGUCCACUGAGCGAGCCUUUUGAUUGGUCUGAGGCCCCUCACUAUGACAACACAGGUUUUGACGCUGAGGAGUCUCCUAUGGACCCACCAUCCUCGACUGGUAGUCAGGGAAACCCACCACUGGGCUCCAAACCCCGCCAGCCAUCACACGGACGGCGCCCCCUCCUCCGGCAGGAACGAAUCGUAGGUGUACCUCUGGAGCUGGACACUCAGACGCUCCCAUUCCACGGCAAUCAACGCUCUACUCCGGACAAUGACCCACAAUCUGGACAUUCUUCCCAGAACCCUUGGCAGAACUGGACCAGAACCCCCAGCCCGCUGGAGGACCGAACCGCUUUUCCCUCCAAACUGGACCUGACGCCCACCUCCAGCCCCAACCCUGACCGCAAGGACCUGGAUCCAAGAAUGGAACAAGGCUCAGGGCCUUUGCCUGGCAGCUGGACGUACCACGAGAAUCAGGGGGAUGGAAACAGGAAGGACCAGCUAACUGUCAGCGGGGGCAACAAGGUAACCGUGGUGAUGAGUAAAAGCUCGGACCGCCUGUCCCCCAUGAUGAGGGAGACGAGAUCCAAGUUUAAGAAGUCACAGAGCAUCGAUGAGAUUGACAUCGGCUCCUACAAGGUCUACAGUAUUCCCAUGGACAGCUACAGCUCAUCCAUCGAGCAACAGACUAGUUUGGACCGUCAAGAUUUGCCCGGUUCUAUGGAGCAGACCAACAUGUCGCGGUCACAGUCUGCCCCCAUGUUAGACGAUGAGCUGAUCUUCCCAGGACACGGCAACCAGAACCAGUCAGGACAGAACCAAAAACCUGCCGUCCCACAUAAGGCCUACCACUUCGACCACAACUACAACCCCCAGGUGACUAUGGACCGUCGGGUGCCUCCCCCCUUCCCCAACACACCAGAUUAUGUCAACCACUCAUCGAAAGCCUUGGAGUACAUCAAUCAACCAGGGAAGACAUUACCCAAGGAGUUGGUGAGCCCUCGGUAUCGUGCAUAUCCGCCACUGGAGAUGUUUUCUUUCCCCCAAUCGCCAAUCAACCAGGAUGGUCCGCCCAGCCAGCAUCAGCAGCCAAUCCCAGCACAGCGCUCCAGGCCAGGGUUUUUGAGGAGAGCAGAUUCAUUGGUGAGCUCCACAGAGCUCGCUUUGUUCCGCAGAGUCCAUGAAGCCCAGCAGGAGGCGCUGCAGGAAGCUCAGUACAGACAGCAGGCGGACCCUCCUCUUUAUGGUCGGGCUGUGGCCUACCCUACCCCCAUGGAGCACUCCGCGCUCACCAACAUGUCUGACAGCCAGAGCCAGAUGAUGCACAACAAGAGAAACGGUCGCUAUGAUGACGACUAUCCCACCUACCAGGAGCAGAAGAAGCCCAUGAUUGGUUAUCCAACCAAGAGCCUCACUCAGCGCCGCCCCCUGUCUGCCAGGAGCUACAGUACCGAGACCUACGGAGCAUCUCAGGCGCGUCCAGUGUCAGCCCGUCCCACCAUGGCUGCCCUGCUGGAGAAGAUGCCCCCUGACUACACUCUGGCAACCUGCCCUGAGAAAUCAUCUGACGACACCAUCAAAGUAAGACCUGGCGUACCGCUGAAGCCUGAAGACAUCACCUCCAGGAUGCCUGCCGACUGGAGGCAACAGCUGCUUAGGCACAUAGAGGCCAAACGAUUGGACAGGAGUGGUGUCCUAAAGCACAACACGCUCACGCUGGGCAUGCUCUGUCAGGGCGGGGGUCACGGCCAGGGGCGCAGCAGCACUUUGAACUUUAACCUUUACAAUAACACUAAGCAUGAACCCCCUGCUGGCCGCUGGCUGCCACUACCUCCUCCUCCGUCUGCUAACGCUACCCCCUCUCAGCAGGCUGCCAUGCUGGAUAACGACCAGGAGGGGCUGUCAGGGAGCAACCAGUGGGCUCCAUACUCACUUGGCAGGAGGGACGUCCCACCUGACAACCUCAUGAAAAAGAGUGCCCACUCCCACAACCCUUCCCACCAGUCACACAACACCAUGGUCGUCACUUCCUCUUCCUCCUCCUCCUCCACUACGCCUCAUCGUGUGGUCGUGCAGCAGGGCUACGACGGGAUGAUGACCAAAGGGGUCCAAUACCAACCGGGCAUGCCCCUGUCAGUGGUUCCCUCCGGGGGGCCGGGGCAGUACCAAGGCAACAUGUCUCAAGGCCAUCCUGCUCCUGGACAGGGUUACCCCGGCGCCGGCAUGCCCAUGGCUCUGUCCCCAUCUGGGAACCAGCCCCAGUACAACCCCCAUUCUUCCCACACAUCCCAUCAGCCCGCCACCAACCCUCAGUACCACGGCAACCAGGGCAUGGUCCAUAGCAACCAGGGAAUGGGCCACAGCAACCAGGGAAUGGGCCACAGCAACCAGGGAAUGGGCCACAGCAACCAGGGCAUGGGCCAUAGCAACCAGGGCAUGGGCCAUAGCAACCAGGGCAUGGUCCACAGCAACCAGGGCAUGGGCCAUAGCAACCAAGGCAUGGGCCAUAGCAACCAGGGCAUGGUCCACAGCAACCAGGGCAUGGUCCAUAGCAAUCAGGUUGUCAUGACCCACACCAACCCACGGCCUCAGAGCGCUCGCUGCCUACUGCAGACGAAAGGCCAGAAGAGCCAGGAUGGUUUCCAGGAACAGUUGUGUGUGAGAAUAGAGAAGAACCCUGGUCUUGGUUUCAGUAUCUCUGGUGGCAUCAGCGGCCAAGGGAACCCCUUCAAACCCUCCGACAUGGGUAUCUUUGUCACUAGGGUACAGCAUGACGGGCCCGCCGCCUCCGCCCUGCAGCCCGGAGACAAGAUUCUGCAGGUAACUUCCUCUCACUCGUCAUCAAAUGGGCCAGAAACAGCCAAAUCCUGCCCUCUCUCCCUCCCUAACCUUCCACACCCUCCCCUUGUUGUAUAAACAGCGAGGCAGAGCAUUCGGUAGGAAAAAAAAGAGGAAGUCAUGUACUCUUUACCUGCUAUCUAACAGAGGCGCACAAACACUAUUUAGCCACAGUGAUCACAAACUCACCCACUUGUGUUAUGUUAUCUUAGUGGGUGUUUACAUGUAGCGUACAAGAGACUUCAGUGUUUUCCCACCUGUAUAUUCUGCCUCUGUGUGUUCAUGUUGGUCCUGAAAUCAGGCAUGACACCCCCACCCUCUCUCUCUUAUUCAUCAUUAGCCAGUGACACCCAAAAGCUUUUGAGCCAAAGAUCACAGGAGGAUUUGAGUCGCUUAUACUGUUAUUAUCACGAUUACUAUGAAACUGUCAACUUGAAAGUUGUCUGAAGUUGUGAAACGAUUUUAGGGCCAUUUCGUAAGACAUCAAGGCUCAACAUACUUUAAGCCAGAGGUGGGAUCAAGUCAUUGUUUUGCAAGUCACAAGUAAGUCUCAAGUCUUUGCACUCAAGUCCUAAACUUUGAGUUUUGAGUUCUAAACAAGUCAUAAUGUGCUCCUCACCAAACGUAAUGCCGUUUGCGUUUUUUGUUGACCACCGCAUAGUUUUCGUAUGCAAACGAAAUUAUCAUUAGUAUCAUUUUUUCCAACUGACACUCAGUAACGUAACGUAACGUAACGUUAGUUCUUCAUGGUUCUCUCCCGCAACUUGAUUCGAUGUUGUCGGAUUCGUUCAAACGAAGUGGAUCUGAGGGAUUAAGUGUCGACUUGCUGGGAAUGAAAAGCGUUAACGUUAGUUGAUUCGGGAAAUGAAUUGACACUUUUUAGAUAACAUACUUUUUAAUCUAGGGAAGGUAUGAAGUAUUUUCAAGUCAGAAAGCUCAAGUCCAAGUGAAGUCACAAGUCAACCAUUAUCGUAACACAUUACGAAGAUCAUUUAAAUCGAAUGAGCAUGAAAGAAAAAAGUUAAACAACCAAUCAUAUAUAUACAGUACACACAUCAAAUGGGACAUUCACACAUGGGUAUCUAUGACCCUGGUGACAGGCUGACAAAAGCUUUGGUCUCACAAUAAAGUUGUUCUUUAUACUAUACUUAUUAUACGCCAGUAUUGCGUGCUACUUAGAUAUUUCCAGGUUAAUUAACUCUUUUUCUAAUAUAUUGUGCAUUGUUACACCUGGCAGGGAUACUUUCCCAGGGGCAACAAUAUGCUAUUGAAACAACUUCCACCUCCCAUGUAGUCAGUCAACUUAAAUCAAUAAACACGAAACAGAAAUUAUUCAUAAAUAUGAACUUUAUUUAUAUAUUUAUAUAUUAACUGUAGCUAUUAUGUCAAAGUAGUGCUAGAAUUGAGCCCAAAAGGAAGCGUGAGGAUUGUGAGAUGCUAGCACUUUACCAUGACAGAUUUACCUCUCCUCUUCCCCCCCAUUCCUGUCGUGUUUUCCUCCCCCUCGUCUUCUCUCCACAGAUGUACAGUUUAGCUGGAUGAACUCAUCUAAAAGCCCUUUUUUGUCUUUACCCCUUCUCUCUCUACAGCAUGACUGUGUAGCUCCUCCUCUUCUCUCUCUUUUCCCCAACAGUGAUGUGUUACUGAGAUAAUGAUGGCAGUGACCCUCCAUCCUCCCACACACACACAAACACACACACACACACACACACACACACAAACACACAUAUACACAUAUGUAUGGAAAUACUGCAGCACACAUACCUCUCUAUACAUCCAUGCACACACACAUGCUGUUGACUGUGCUGCGUGUUUGCCUUGCAGGCUAACGGACAUAGUUUUUUACACAUGGAGCACGAGACAUCCGUCUCUCUGCUGAAGAGUUUCCAGCGGACGGUGGACUUGGUGGUUCUGAGAGACAGCAGCACGUGCUAAAAAAAAAUAGUUUUAUAACAAACAAACAAACACAAACAACAACAACAACAACAACAACAACAGCGCUUCUCUACUCUGCUCAUCGCCAUCCCACGCCAUCCCACCUGCCCUCUGCUGGAGGCUUGUGGAACUGAAAAAUGAGCCGCCUUUUUUACCUUUUUAGGGGAACACACAGACAUUUAUUUGCCUAUUGCUGGACCAAAGGCAAAUACUAGUGCCAAAUGUACCAUAGGAAACAUAUCGGCUCUUCUGUCUAGCGGCGGUCAGGGACCCGAUCGACGGCUGAAGAGGGCUCUUUGAGUUCCUACAGGGCUGCUGCAGUUUGGAUUUUGUGGUUGUUAAUUAGGCAGUCAUCUGAUCAGUCAGUCUGAAUAGUUUGUUUUCUCCACUGCCUUUUAUUUUGCGGUCCAUGGUAGAUUAUUAAUAAUUUGUUUGGCGUAGCACAUGAUUCACUUUCCGUAUUCUUCAUUGCGUUGUCUUUUCUUUUGACUUUUAUCUUCUGUUCUUCUCUUUCCUCCGCUGUCUUGCUUUUUAUUCUUUCCUGCUGUCUUCUGUUCUGUUCUGCAGGUCUUAUUGCCUCCAGUGUACAGAAAUUGAAAACUUAAGACUUUCUGCCUUGUGUACAUAUAUAGAGCCGCAGCUUUCUAGAGCUGCGCUUUCCUUGGGGCCUGGACAGAAGUUUAUGAUUCAUAUAAAUAUUGUUGAUAAACCACAUUCUGAAUCCUCUCUUAUGAACAUACAGGGAUUAUUUCUCCAAAUGGACAAUUUUCUAAAGUAUACCACUGAUUUUUUUCUGUAAAGAAAACACUGUUGAUAGUUCAUUAUUGCUACUUUUUCUUUUUAAAACUGUUGCUUGCACAGGUGUACUGAAAAGAGCUAAAGCAAUACUUCUGAGGCUCGGCCCAUUGAGAUUUUCAGCAGAGCCUAACUUGUCCUACAGUGCCAUCUAUCGAGCGAGUCAUGCUAAUGUUUACACACACUGCCAUGCACGUGAGCUAACAGGCAACACACACACAGUAGACGUAUGUGCCCCCAUACACGACACAUAUGCAAUGGUGCGCUCUGUGCACUAUUCAUAAUGAAGCCCUGUCUAUAUUCUAGCCUGAUUUUACAAUUCAACUGCUAUAUUAAAACCAGUCACACACACACACACACACUGUAACAUUAUUCAUAAUAUCUGUGCCAUAUUUUGAAGUCCUGUUUUCUAGUAUUGUUACAGCAAUGUUGCAUCCUUUUUUUAGCUGUUUGAGUUGUAUGAUAAAGUCACAGCAUGCUUUCAUAUCAUUUGGUCACUGUCAGCCAGACAUUUUCUGUUGGCUUCUAGCGUUCUCUACUCUGUAGAAGACUCUAGAUGUAUUAUACCACUGAGUUUCAGUGAGACUGAUGUUCUGUAGUUGGUGCCAUAUUAUGGACCCUCUGCGCCCCUCCCUGGUUGUAUUUACACACAGGCCCAAAACACCAGAGCUUUACCGCUUUGUGGCCCAGAUCUGAUCUGCACACAGAGAGAGCAGUAGCGUGGCUUGUAGUGAAUAGGGAAACUGUUUUUUAACAUUUUGCCUGGCCUUCAAAUCUAAGGCUGCAUUCACACCAGAUCAGGCAUUGCGGCGAAAAUGCAGGUUAUCCCAUUCAUUUUGAAUGGAGUUAAUGUGUUUGGACUGCGGCUGUGAUUGUCGCAGGGGGUGCCGGGAAAAAAACUUUUGGAGAAACGCAACCCGACGUCAGGCUGCGCUGAUCAAUUGCGUAACCGGCGAUCCAGAGCUGUACAGCCUAGCAAUGAGGGAACAAAAGGCAUUAAUCGUUGCAGUUAAUGGGCCAUUAAUGUGACCCUCCCGCAGCGCCGCACAACCCUAAGGCGAAUCGUGAUCUGGUGUGAAUGCAGAAGUGUCAGCAAGUAUCCGCUCUGCUGAAGUGUCCCGACCUCUGACCUCCCUGCAGAAAGCAACAAGAGAAAAGAGACAGUCCCUACAAGAAUCAAAUAAUAAUACUGUCUUAAUGGGUAAAUCUGCAGUCAAACAGAUUUCCCCUUUUUUAGACAAUCAGGGAAAGAUCUGAUCUGUGCCACAAAGGCUUUUGGCUACACUUGAAAUGUCAGUGUAUCUUUUGUAACCUGAGGGAGAUGCUAGUUAACGCUAGGUGUACAUGGAGAUGUACAUUCACUCGGUUGGUGAAUGUUCAAAAAUGAUAUGCGGAUAGGGAAAGAAAAUGAUGUAUAACUCAGAUGUAUACUGAGAUUGUACGAGAGGUUUCUGGAGCCAUGUCAAACCUUAACGGUCAUGCUUCAGAAACCGUAUAGACGUGACAGAAGUGACCACAGAAAAACAAAAAAAAAGAGCGAAGAGGUUCAUUUUCUGUCUUUGUGUAAAUGCAACACGUGUCUUGAAGACGUUUCAGGGCGGUGAGUUUUGUUUUGUUCUGUAGAACAUCUGAUGUUUCAUCCAGAGCAAAACAACAUCCUGCACUGUCCUUUUCUUUUACUUGACAUGACAGUGUCAUCCUGCUGUGCCCAUUUUGUGUCGACCCUCUUAAUAAGCGUUAGUUAAUUCAAUAUAAGGGACGCAAAAUGGUACAGUUUAGCCUUGUGGUUGAGAGACUUGAUCUGAACCACAGGCACCCACCCAACCCUAUUUAGAGUUUGAAAUAUCAAAGAUAUUGUGAUGAGAACAGAGAAAAAGGUUUGAUAAUAUAAUUAUUUUUUACUACAUGUUUCAGGUAAUUCUUUCUAAAUAUAUUGAUAUACCUUAGCUUUGCUCAAAAAUUGUGAUAUUUUAUAAUAAUGACACUUAUAACAAAGUUAUGGAUGGAAGUACGCACAGUAUGACUUGGAGACCUACACAUGUACUAUCCAAAACUGUAUAAAAUGUAUUUCUACUGUAAUUGUGAAUUUGUGUUAUACAAAUAUAUAUUAUAUAUAUAUGUAUAUGACUAUAAAAAACAGUCAUUUUCUAUGUGUUUAAACUACAUAAGAGCUGAACAAAUGCUGAGGACGGUGUCACUGUACAUAGCUGUGAAUGAAAUCCAAUUUAAAUGACUCAUAUUGAUUGUGAAUGUACUCAUGCUUUCUGCAGUACCUACACCUACCCAACUUGAAUGCUGCUUCUUCUGUUGUGUGACAAAAAGUACUUUGACCUCCGAAGAGAGAAACCGCUGUCGAGUUAUAAGUUGGACAAAUUUUAGUGACGAUUUAACAGAACUAUUUAUUUCUUUAUUUAUUUGCACAUGCAAGUUGAAAUCCUUCCAGUUUUAAGUUUUGAGUAUUAAUGCGGAGAAAUGUAAUUGCAGAAGUAUAUAUAAUAUAUAUCAUGUGUUUAGAAUGCAUUUUGCAGACGCUAUCUGUACAUACUAUUUAAGAUACAGUUUUUACAAAAAAUAAUAUAUGUAUAAAAUUGAAAAAAUGCUGUGCAGCGAUUAUACUGGAGCCAUUUUGGGCUUUGGGACGUACCAUUUUUUCAGUAUAUAAGAAGUGUUUUGAAUAAUGUACUAAAGUCUCUAUUGUACAAAUAAUAAAAAUGUCACUAUUGGUAA